rnacentral:rRNA from 1 species
UACGGGGGGGGCAAGCGUUGUUCGGAAUUACUGGGCGUAAAGGGCUCGUAGGCGGCCAACUAAGUCAGACGUGAAAUCCCUCGGCUUAACCGGGGAACUGCGUCUGAUACUGGAUGGCUUGAAUCCGGGAGGGGGAUGCGGAAUUCCAGGUGUAGCGGUGAAAUGCGUAGAUAUCUGGAGGAACACCGGUGGCGAAGGCGGCAUCCUGGACCGACAUUGACGCUGAGGAGCGAAAGCCAGGGGAGCAAACGGG